rnacentral:rRNA from 1 species
UCUGACCUCAAAUCAGGUGGAAUACCC